UUCUUCAACAAAUCAACAAAAUAUACUAAUUGAAACACAAUUUCUCAAUUAAAGGUGGUACUUAAGGCGUUGAAUUGGAUUAAAAUACUGACUAAGGUAUUUUAAUUGAAAUUGGGGUUAUUCAAAGGAAAAAAAAUUGAAAACAACUGAUCGAUUGUGUGAAAAUAUGGAGGGUGAUAAUCUAUAUUCAAUCAUGAUACAACAUGGAUGUUAAUGAAAUAUCACGGGUAUUUUUUUAUGUAUUCAAUCAUGAUCUCUCAAAUAAUUUUGGUAUAUACGG
rnacentral:lncRNA from 1 species